CCAGGCGAUUUGCACUAUCACAUCCCUCGUGUCUCCGUGGAGGUGCCCGCUAUGGAAGAAUGGCUGAAUGACCUGAUUGGAAUGGAAUGUAGCAGCUGUCUUAUCUGACCACACGGAUACCUACCAGGAGAGGAAUGCCUCACUUCCUCAUGACAAUUUUUGAAGACUUUUCUGAGAAGGUGAUAAUAUUAUCCAAUUACCUCACAAUCACAAGUUUUACUGCAGUGACUGCAAACCGUGUGCCUCAUUCAGCAAGUGUCACAGAAUAAGGAAAAAGAAGAUUGAGAGGUGGGAUCUGGGAGGAAACCAAGGACCCAAACUGAAGGUUAAAUCCUGUGAGGUGGGAGCAGGGAUUUUAUUUGUCUGGAGGACAAAAAGGGAUAAUACCUACAGGGGAAAGCAACAAACAGUUCUCCCUGGGAACCAGGUCAGCGUUCUUGCUAAAGUGACAUUGGCCUGUAUAGCUGUGGUGGCCUUGAACUACACAAUACCCCUCCAUACACAGCUUCUCUUUGUCCAGAAAUGAAGGGACUUCACCAAACCACCAUCCCACAAGCUCCUGCAUUCCCGCCAACUGGUGAUAUUCUUCAUGAUGUUCAACAAGUCUGAUUCCCCUAACCACUUACAGAGGCCCAUUCACCAAGUCUUCUGGUCACUUGCGUUCUUCUCUUCUGACUUCUUUCCAACUUCCCUCUCCCUGAAGUCAUUUACCUGAAUCAGAGGACCAGUUUUGCUCCAGCUACAUUCAUCCUACAGGCCUGCUUUUUCUCUAAGUAGUUGGCAAGGAGCACAGCUGUGUUCCAGGAGGGAAGCCUGGUCUCACAGGAGCAGUGCAGUGACGUCCCAAGCCCAGCCAGCCAAGGAUGCAGAUGGUCCUGGCCUAGAGGAACCCCACAGAAAUCAGCAAGAAGCCCACCUCCAGACAGUGUCUGGCCUCAAAUCCCAGAGGAACCCACCAUCCUCUUCCUCUUCACCAUCCUCUACUUACCUGUGCUACCAAAAGAGUGAAGCUACAUUCCCACACUCCCUUGGGUUGACCCUCUUCCUACAAAACUGGGACAAGCAACCUCCUGGACACACUGAUGCCUCUCUAGUAGUGAGCCCUUCGUGGGAGGAAGACUUCAAAAAGCUUUCCAGAGGCUCGACAGAGCCAGAUCAUCCCAUUUUUCCCAUAAGAUGCAAACAGAAGACUCCUGGAUGCUGCUUCCAGAAUAAAUUUUUCUGGGAAAAAGGAAUAGUUGUAGCCAGUACAACCCUGCCAUUCCCCCUUGGUGCUGCCUUGAAUGUGCCGCUCACAGUUCCCACCCAGAAAAUUAUCUAACUGCCCAGAGCUGUCUUUCUUUGGAAGCAGAAGACUUCCAUUCCCUGCUUCUCUGAGGGCCGUCUUCGUGCCCAGGGAGCUGGGUGCUCUUGCGGCACAAUGAGAUGUGUGUCCUCACAACAAGGGUGAGGACACCAGGGAUGGGGUAAAGCCUGCUGUGUAGUGCUGACCACUACGUCUCCUCACACCCCUAUGUGACUUUGCUCUCCCAUCAUGCUCCUCUCCUCGGAGAGCACUCAGUCUUGGAAAAACCCACCAUUCUCCGUGACCAUACAACUGUGAUCAUUCAAGCUGCCCAUUGGUCAGCGUCUGCCACCUAAUAGGAAGCUUUGGUCCUAGCAUGAAUCCAUUCUCAGGAGAGACAGAUUGUGUGUGAGAGGAGGUACACACAGUGGGCAGUGCCCAGGUUCAAGACCAACUGCCUAGAUUCGAUCUUUUUUCUGCCUCUUACCAUGGCUGGAAUUGUAGACGAAUUUACUUUUGUCCCUCAUUCCCUUAGCUGUUAAGGGACAUAAUGCAUCUGUAGACCUCACUGUGUUGCUGUGGGGGUUGAAUGAGUUAAUUGGCAUGAGGCUUUAAGAGCUGUGCCAGGCAAGGGUGCCUAGGUGGCUUCCGACUCACUUUUUUUUUUUUAAGAUUUUAUUUAUUUAUUCAUGCAAGUCACACAGAGAGAGGCAGAGACACAGGCAGAGGGAGGAGCAGGCUCCCUGCAGGGAGCCUGAUGCUGGACUCGAUUCCAGGACCCCGGGAUCAUGACUUGAGCCAAAGGCAGACACUUAACCAGACAGACGCUCAACCACCGAGCCACCCAGGCGCCCCUCCAACUCAGUUUCAACUCAGGUCAUGAUCUCAGGGUCCUGGGAUCAAGUCCAACAUUAAGCUCCAAGCUCUGCUGAGAGACUGCUUGGGCUUCUCUACCUCUACCCCUUCUCCCCCACACAUGCACACUCUCUGUCAAGUAAAUAAAUCGUUAAAAAAAAAAAAAGAAGUGUGCUGG
rnacentral:lncRNA from 1 species